rnacentral:rRNA from 1 species
UCGAGAAUUUUUCACAAUGGGCGCAAGCCUGAUGGAGCGACGCCGCGUGGGGGAUGAAUGGCUUCGGCCCGUAAACCCCUGUCAUUUGCGAUCAACCGUUAUUAUUUAAAAGAUGAUAACCUGAUAGUAGCGAAAGAGGAAGGGACGGCUAACUCUGUGCCAGCAGCCGCGGUAAUACAGAGGUCCCAAGCGUUGUUCGGAUUCACUGGGCGUAAAGGGUGCGUAGGUGGCAAGGUAAGUCGGAUGUGAAAUCUCCGAGCUCAACUCGGAAACUGCAUUGGAAACUGCUUUGCUUGAGGAUUGGAGGGGGGACUGGAAUACUUGGUGUAGCAGUGAAAUGCGUAGAUAUCAAGUGGAACACCAGUGGCGAAGGCGAGUCCCUGGACAAUUCCUGACACUGAGGCACGAAAGCUAGGGGAGCAAACA